rnacentral:rRNA from 1 species
GAUGAACGCUGGCGGCGUGCCUAAUACAUGCAAGUCGAGCGAACAGACGAGGAGCUUGCUCCUCUGACGUUAGCGGCGGACGGGUGAGUAACACGUGGAUAACCUACCUAUAAGACUGGGAUAACUUCGGGAAACCGGAGCUAAUACCGGAUAAUAUAUUGAACCGCAUGGUUCAAUAGUGAAAGACGGUUUUGCUGUCACUUAUAGAUGGAUCCGCGCUGCAUUAGCUAGUUGGUAAGGUAACGGCUUACCAAGGCAACGAUGCGUAGCCGACCUGAGAGGGUGGUCGGCCACAGUGGAACUGAGACACGGUCCAGACUCCUACGGGAGGCAGCAGUAGGGAAUCUUCCGCAAUGGGCGAAAGCCUGACGGAGCAACGCCGCGUGAGUGAUGAAGGUCUUCGGAUCGUAAAACUCUGUUAUUAGGGAAGAACAAAUGUGUAAGUAACUAUGCACGUCUUGACGGUACCUAAUCAGAAAGCCACGGCUAACUACGUG